UGCCAGCCGCCGCGGUAAUACGAAGGUCCCAAGCGUUGUUCGGAUUUACUGGGCGUAAAGCGUGCGUAGGCGGCAAGGUAAGUCAGAUGUGAAAUCCCGGGGCUCAACCCCGGAACUGCAUCCGAUACUGCCUUGCUAGAGUAAUGGAGGGGCAUCUGGAAUUCAUGGUGUAGCAGUGAAAUGCGUAGAUAUCAUGAGGAACACUAGUGGCGAAGGCAGCUCUCUGGACUAUUACUGACCCUGAGGGACGAAAGCUAGGGGAGCGAACAGGAUUAGAUA
rnacentral:rRNA from 1 species